rnacentral:rRNA from 1 species
AUUGAACGCUGGCGGCAGGCCUAACACAUGCAAGUCGAGCGGCAGCGACUAAACUGAACCUUCGGGGAACGUUAAGGGCGGCGAGCGGCGGACGGGUGAGUAAUGCCUGGGAAUAUGCCCUGAUGUGGGGGAUAACUAUUGGAAACGAUAGCUAAUACCGCAUAAUCUCUUCGGAGCAAAGAGGGGGACCUUCGGGCCUCUCGCGUCAGGAUUAGCCCAGGUGGGAUUAGCUUGUUGGUGAGGUAAUGGCUCACCAAGGCAACGAUCCCUAGCUGGUCUGAGAGGAUGAUCAGCCACACUGGAACUGAGACACGGUCCAGACUCCUACGGUAGGCAGCAGUGGGGAAUAUUGCACAAUGGGGGAAACCCUGAUGCAGCCAUGCCGCGUGUGUGAAGAAGGCCUUCGGGUUGUAAAGCACUUUCAGUAGGGAGGAAGGUAGUGUAGUUAACACCUGCAUUAUUUGACGUUACCUACAGAAGAAGCACCGGCUAACUCCGUGCCAGCAGCCGCGGUAAUACGGAGGGUGCGAGCGUUAAUCGGAAUUACUGGGCGUAAAGCGCAUGCAGGCGGCCUGUUAAGUCAGAUGUGAAAGCCCGGGGCUUAACCUCGGAAUUGCAUUUGAAACUGGCAGGCUAGAGUCUUGUAGAGGGGGGUAGAAUUUCAGGUGUAGCGGUGAAAUGCGUAGAGAUCUGAAGGAAUACCAGUGGCGAAGGCGGCCCCCUGGACAAAGACUGACGCUCAGAUGCGAAAGCGUGGGGAGCAAACAGG